rnacentral:rRNA from 1 species
GGCAGGCUUAACACAUGCAAGUCGAACGCUCGUAGCAAUACGGGAGUGGCAGACGGGUGAGUAACGCGUGGGAACAUACCCUCCGGUUCGGAAUAGCUCAGGGAAACUUGGAUUAAUACCGGAUACGGCUGAGAGGCGAAAGAUUUAUCGCCGGAGGAUUGGCCCGCGUUCGAUUAGCUUGUUGGUGAGGUAACGGCUCACCAAGGCGAUGAUCGAUAGCUGGUCUGAGAGGAUGAUCAGCCACAUUGGGACUGAGACACGGCCCAAACUCCUACGGGAGGCAGCAGUGGGGAAUAUUGGACAAUGGGCGCAAGCCUGAUCCAGCCAUGCCGCGUGAGUGAUGACGGCCUUAGGGUUGUAAAGCUCUUUCGCUCGGGACGAUAAUGACGGUACCGAGAUAAGAA